CACGUCUGUCUCACUGUGUUUUACCUCCACCCACCUUCCUUCCUUCCCUCCCUGUUCUGUUCUUUUUUCUCUCUUUAACUGACUUUCGUACACAUCUGCAAGAGCCCACGCUCUUUCAAUCUUUUCUCUCCGUCUCAUUCAUUCAGUUUUAUUUCCCUGUCAACUUCAGAACCGAUCAAUCACAUUGAUCAGUCAGUCACAAUGAAGGCCAAUAUCACCCUGGCUCUGAGCAUGCUCUCUCUGGUCCUCUUGAUCUUCAUCCAUGAAGCCACGCCUGACUCUAAUGGAACUUUGAACGAUGACACACAAACUGAAAAGACGAGCGCGAGAGAUGGACUUUUAAAUGAUACCGGGAACUCCCCUGACCAAUCCACACCUGAGAAGCAUGACAGAGGAAUGCAUGGUAAUCAUUCUGGCAUGACAAUAGCCCCCCCGAAUGGUACACCCACAUCCACAGAGAGUCAGACAUCUGCAACAUCAGGAAGCACAACCCAGCAGACUGAAAAGACCACAUCCCCCCCACUCACUAAACAGACAAUCCCUACGUCUCUUCCCAAGACCUCCCCACCACCUCAACCCCUCCAUCCAGUACUAAACCCCAACCUGUUCCGUUAAAGAAGGGGUUCAUUGUGGUCCUGGUUGUGGUCAUUAUUCUUCUCGCACUGAUUACCGUGCUGUGCUUCUACAAGUGGAACACCCGCCACUCAGGCCAGGACAGCUCCGCCCCUCGGCUGUUAUUGGGCGUCAGGGAGCGCAUGAGGGGCAGGGUUAGAAGCCUGGAGGAUUGGCUGGGGCUCAGCCUCUGGCCCGGGAAGAGCGUGUUGGAGGGGGACGAGGAGGAGGGAGAGGGGGGGGGAGGGGGAGGAGGAGGGGAAGAGUGGAGAUGGAGAGGCUGCUGCAGGAGUGAGAGGGGGACAGGAUGAAGGAGAUUCCUCAGACUACUCCAGUUUAGACGGGAUUGACCUCAGCAAGAGAGCCAAGAACCUAGAGGAUGAUGAGAAAAAGGAGGAGGCUGUGAAGGGGAAGAGUGGGGGCGAGGGAGGCCAGGAUAACAUGAAAGGAGAGAGGACUGAUGGAAGGAAGGAGGGUGGUGAAGAGCGAACAGGGGAAAUCUCCGGUGAGGGAGAUACUUGUGACCUCACAGCACUGUAAGGAAACAGGGAGGAAGGGGUUAAGAGUGGGAUAAAAUAAGAUAAUUGUUUAAUUGUGACACAAUUCACUCUUCCUAUGGAGUAUAUUUUUUCAUUUAAGCGUGUCAAUGUCAGCCAAAUAUAUAGUUUUUGGUAAUCUCUGUUACAUGUGUUUUAAUAAACUGAUGGACCCACUAA